rnacentral:rRNA from 1 species
UACGUAGGGUGCGAGCGUUAAUCGGAAUUACUGGGCGUAAAGCGUGCGCAGGCGGUUAUGCAAGACAGAUGUGAAAUCCCCGGGCUCAACCUGGGAACUGCAUUUGUGACUGCAUAGCUGGAGUGCGGCAGAGGGGGAUGGAAUUCCGCGUGUAGCAGUGAAAUGCGUAGAUAUGCGGAGGAACACCGAUGGCGAAGGCAAUCCCCUGGGCCUGCACUGACGCUCAUGCACGAAAGCGUGGGGAGCAAACAGG